rnacentral:misc_RNA from 1 species
ACAACAUAUCCACAAGAUGAAUGUGGUGGAAAUGUGAAUGUUAAAAUAGAUGUUUGGUAACAUCAUAAUGGAUAACAUUAGGAAUGACCACAUCUGUCUGAGAAUGCAUGUAACACAUAUUGAUAAAAUGAGAAAGGGUCAUUUAUGAUGUUUUGGUCAUGUACAAUGCAGAUAAUCAAAUGCCUUAGUGCGGAAGUGUGAUAAGUUAAUACCGGAAGGCGUGAGAAAGGGAAUGGGGAGCCUACGAUGACGGGAGGAAAGCAGUAUCAAAUGAUUUAUAAGUUUUAGAUAUUAAUGUGGAUUUAGUGUCCAAUAGAGGUAAAUGGUGAAAAAGGAUCCAUAUGGCUGGCUUCUAUUAGUUUGGGAUAAAGGUUUAAUUAUUGUUGUAUGACUUUUUGAUUUGGUUGGGUUAUUUUCAUCAAAAAACCAAAAAACCCAACUGAUCAAUUUUCUAAUUUAUGGCCUUUUAUGUAAUGUAAUGUAAUGUUUAAUUUAUGGAAUUUAUAGUAGGUACAAAGAAAAAAAAAAUUAGGCCCAACAAAAUAGGCUUAAGCUGAUAAACUGAAAAGGUUUGGUUCAACACACACUCGGAUUUGGUUAUUAUUAUUUAUCACUUUGCUUUUUCAUUAUUUCGGUUUAAUUUGGAACUAAACCGAUUGAUUACAUGACCCUAGUCAGUGUCAUAUCCAAUUGAAGAACUGAAUAACAUCAAAUUGAGGAGAGACACUGAGAUAGAGAGUAGUGGAGAUCAUCAAUGCCACUGGGUACGUAAUUGUGAGUGUGAGGUUGAAGAGAGGCUGGGUUUGGGUUGGGAGUCAGGGUUGUGAGGUGUUGAGUCUUUGGAAAACAAAGAGGUAGAGAGAAGGGAACAAUUGAACAAUAGCACAGAAGAGUGAAAGACAAGUUGGGUCUAUGGCUCAGACAUAGUGGAGACUAGAAGGAGAGGGUAGGCGGCGAUGUAGAAGAAAGGAGGAAAGGGAAUGAAAUAGGAUGUGUGAAUUAGGUUUAGGUUUAAAAGAAGGCUAAAAUGAUUAUAGGCAUGAGCAGAAAUGGUUAGGGCCUUAUUUAUCUCUUGGCUAGACAAAGUAGCCUUUUAAUCAUGAUAAAAAUAAGUUUGGGAUCCUUAAAAUUUCCCAUUAUUAGCUACUUAAUCCAUAGAUUUUUUACAUUAAAAAUUCCUUAAUUUUUCAUUUUGUAUACUAAGUAGUCCCUCCAUUCAAAUUUUCAUUUUUUCACCAUUAUUCCAUUAAGAAAAGACCAGAUUACCUCCUCCCCUCUCUCAUCCUUGCCUUUGUUCUUCGACUAAGUCCUCUAACUCUUUGUGCUUUCCCCUUUUUUCUCUGUUUUGCCUAUAUCUGCCUUUAAGCAUCAAGCCUUUAAGGCUACUAACAUUGACUUAACCUCAAGAUGUCUCACCGGCAAAUAUCCAUGGCAACUGCAUAGCUCCUUCGAUAGUGACUAAAUUCAAUGCACUCAAGCAUUCUUACUCUCUCAACCUUGUUACCCUUCACACCCA